UCGAGUGAUGCCCGAUCGCAUCGCUGCUGCCGCCGCCGCGGGGGAGGCGCGGGGCGCGGGGGCCGCCCGCCCGCCCCGCCAAACUCGCCCCCCUCUACCCUGCGCUAUCCCCGCUUACACCCUCGUCGCCGCGCUUCGGAGCGGGUACCACCGCCGCCAGCACAGGCGGUUUUGACCUUUCAAUAGAGAGCUGAUUUUGGAGAACGACUUACUCCUGUGAUUGAAAAACUCUCUGGAAGGUUGAUGGAGCAUGAGCUUGGUCCCAAAUUCAUGGCCUCUCUAAUCAAUUCAAGAGAAGAUAAAAUAUGGUUUGAAAUAAACUCUCAGGAAAAUGUUUGCCUUUCUUUCUAGAAUUACCAGGUUUAAAAUCUAGGUCUUCAUUUGCAUCUAGGUUUGGGGUAUAACUAGGAGACUCUUGAAUUAGCAGUGAGAAAAUAAUUCCUUCCAGGGUAUUAGUACUGCUAGACUGUGUUCUGUUCUGACACCAGCAACUCUUCUGUUUUCGUUAAGGCUUUGAUCCCAGCUAUAUCAUCAUAAUUAUGGUGAAUUUGGCUGUGAAUAUUGAGUGUUUGCUUCAGAAAUUGAUAUUUUUGUGAAACUGCAUAAGAAACUAACAAAUAUAAAAUACAAGAAUGUUCAUAAGUUAUCUCUUAAAUUUAUUGUCCUUGAUUAUUUUUUUUGCCAUUUAGAUAUACAAACUUCUUGUAUUUUGGUGUGUAAUACUUAAUUUGUCAACCUCACAGUCUUCUGAUCUGAAAAUGAGUUUGAAAUGCUGUUCAGGUUUUUUUGUUUUAUUUUUUUAUGUGAAUAUAACUUCUGUUGCUGACCCAUUUUCCAGUAUUAAAAACCUGAACAGAAUUUGUCAUUGAGGUAGGAAUUAAUGAAGGCUAACACUAGAGGGCAAUUCAAAGCAGCAGUGUACUCCAGAACAGGUUUGGGUGCCUGUGGCCCUGAGCUGAAAAAGAGGGAAGCUGUGGAGACUUUUCCAGGGUCUCCCCAGGCAAAAGAUGGUCUUUGUGAUUACCCUCCUAAAUCGUUUAUUUAACUCAUUUUUCAUAUCUCGGAGUGCUCCACUGAAUGAGGAGGAAGUUAAGCCAGUUCUUAUGCUUUGCUGAAUUACAAGUUAAGAAACGCCUUCCAAGAGAGUCUUACCCCACUCACUCUUGCCAGUGUCAAAAAGGCAUAACUUAUUCAGUGGUGGGUUUUGUUCACUUUUAAUUUGCUGUCAUGUGCUACAGCAAACUCUUUGAAAAAUACUAGGAUUUGUGGGGUAAGAUAACAUUGCACAGAAAUUUAAAUGUCUUUCGCUAAAUGCUAAGGAAAAUGGAAUGGAAUACAUGGUGAGUAAAAUAUUUUCUUUCAAAAUACUAUAAAGUUAUUCAAAUUAAUAAGACAGUAUGAAUAAUUAAUUCCAUAUAAAUAAGAAAAAACAAACCACCUGACAACCAGGAUAAGGCAUCAGAUGGGUACUUUGUGUCAGUAAUUUUAUCAAAGAAAAUAUAUUGAAUGUAACAAAAAAAAUUCAGUUGAAGAUGAGUAAUCAGGUGCUGUAUUUAAUAUUUAACCAAGUAGGAGGGAUCAUCUGUUUGUAUUGUGCACAAUUUAAACAAUUUAUAUAACAGUGCAUUACAUAAUAAAUUACAGUUUUCACAGUUGCAAUGUUCAUUAUAGAUUUACAGAACAUCUUGAAUACUUGUAAAUAAUAACCUGUAAUGCAAACGAUGAUGUUAUGGUUCUUGAAAAGGAUUCCAGUAUUCUCAUUUCAGCAAUGCAAAUUUUCUCAUUAUAUUGAAAUGUAUGCACCCAGCCAUGUAAAUGCUUGUGGCACAGUACAAAUUUCAAAUCAAAGAGCAUUUUAUAAGUGAGUGUGAGUUUAUACCUGUCCCUCUACCUUAUUUUAUGUGGAUGCAUAUAAUAUUUUAUUAUAUAUUUUAUGUGUACUUAUAUAUAAAAAAUCUGUAAUUAAAAUAGCAUGUUUGUU